CGUGAAGGGGGAAACCAGCAUGACUCUAGCAUGCUGGCAUCCUGGUGCCCUUGGCAGCUAACACCAGACUGUUUCUCCUCUUGCUUCUUUUCUGCGGUUCUUAGUGGAAUCAUGACCAGCAGAUUUGAAGAUAUACAGUCAUGCACUGCAUAAUGAUAUUUUGGUCAACUACAGAUGGAAUACACAAUGGGAGGUGACAGGACUCUGGAAACAUGACUGUAUUUGUACUUAAGAGACUAGCAAGCACUGCUAUUACCAACCUUAGCGAAGAUUUCUGUGCUACGGAAUGGAUAAAAGCUGCACAGUGCUGCACUUAAAAUGACCACGUCAAUGUUCAUCCUUUUAUGGAAAACAGUAUCAGCCAAAGUACAGCUGGACGGCCCUACGUAUUUUGCUCUGCAUAAAUCCCUCAGGAACUUUUUUAUUUUCAGACAGUGUGGUCUGGGAGCUACAAUAAUGACUGAGAUUGAGUAUUUUUCUCCUUAGUGGAAUGAAAGCAUAUGGUCAAUUUAAUCUGAUUUAAAGGAAAUGAAUUGAAGGACAGUAGAGAUUAGACUUUUGGAAGGGACUGUUGGGACUUUAAAAUUUAAAAUACAGCCUCUGUCAUUGCUUAUGUUCCAAGUGUAAUUGUUGCAGGUACACAAGACAGCUAUAAUGUUUUAUCUCACAAAACUGUAUUUUCUAUCUAUUUUUAUCAUGGAUACGUAGGCAAAGUAGAGAAAAAAUGAGUAUAAAGAUGUAAAAGAAAAGGAUUACAUCCCAUCUAAAUACAUUAUUAUGGAAACUCCUCGGUAGU